AAUAUUAAUUCAAUAUAAAAGAGGGUAAACCAAGCAAAUCAAAACUCUUUGUGUGUUUUGACUUUGUCAUAAGAAGACUUAGAUUUCUUCAAUGUUUGUGAGAGAAUACAAGCUAAGCACAGAUUUUACUUGACCUCAGAUUCUGCACAUGCAACAUGAAAUUGUAAAUACAUGUAUUGUUCAAAUUUAUUUGUUCCUGUUACUAUGCUACAACACUUUGAUUUAACUGUGGCUGGCUCUACCUGCAGAAUAAAUUAACAUUCAGAGUAUCUCUUUGUCUCUGCUGUGUUUCCAUUCUUUUAUUUUUGGCCCAGUUCUAGUUUCAAUAUACUUAACUAUGGAAUGUGCCACUCCUUGAUACAGAGCUGGGUCAGUAUCGAUUUAUAGUGAGUCUUUGCCCUGAUGAACAUGGCUGUGACACACAAUAUAACUUUUUUCAGCACCAGGGAUUAGCAAGCAUUAGGUUACUGAGGUACUGAGACCACCUCUCAGUGCAGCAGGACACAGCAGGUGCUGUGGCACUACACAAUCACAAAUAUUGCAAAACAGAUGCAUGUGCAAG